rnacentral:ribozyme from 1 species
AGGGAGGACGGGAGUGCGCACAGCAAAAGCGGGGAGAAAAAAAAAAAAAAAAAAGGCGCCUAUUUUUAUUGUUCUUUCCUCUCUCUCUCUCUCUCUCUCUCUC